ensembl:snRNA U6 U6 spliceosomal RNA
GUGCUUGCUUCAGCAGCACACAUACUGAAAUGGGAAGAAGACAGAGAAGGUUAGCAUGGCCCCUGUGCAAGGAUGAUAUGCAAAUUUGUGAAGCUGUCCAUGUUUUA